UACGUAGGGGGCAAGCGUUGUCCGGAAUUAUUGGGCGUAAAGAGCGCGUAGGCGGUCCGAUAAGUCGGCUGUGAAAGUCAGGGGCUCAACCCUUGAAAGCCGGCCGAUACUGUCGGACUAGAGUCCGGAAGAGGCAAGUGGAAUUCCCGGUGUAGCGGUGAAAUGCGCAGAUAUCAGGAGGAACACCUAUUGCGAAGGCAGCUCGCUGGGACGUAACUGACGCUGAGACGCGAAAGCGUGGGGAGCAAACAGG
rnacentral:rRNA from 1 species